rnacentral:rRNA from 1 species
GUCUACGGCCAUACCACCCUGAGCGCGCCCUAUCUUGUCUGACCUCAGAAGCUAAGCAGGGUCGGGACAGGUUAGUACUUGGAUGGGGGAAUAUUCCACUGUUUGCA